AUACGGAGGAUCCGAGCGUUAUCCGGAUUUAUUGGGUUUAAAGGGAGCGUAGGCGGACGCUUAAGUCAGUUGUGAAAGUUUGCGGCUCAACCGUAAAAUUGCAGUUGAUACUGGGUGUCUUGAGUACAGUAGAGGCAGGCGGAAUUUGUGGUGUAGCGGUGAAAUGCUUAGAGAUCACGAAGAACUCCGAUUGCGAAGGCAGCCUGCUGGACUGUAACUGACGCUGAUGCUCGAAAGUGUGGGUAUCAAACAGGAUUAGAUACCCUGGUAGUCCACACAGUAAACGAUGAAUACUCGCUGUUUGCGAUAUACAGUAAGCGGCCAAGCGAAAGCGUUAAGUAUUCCACCUGGGGAGUACGCCGGCAACGGUGAAACUCAAAGGAAUUGACGGGG
rnacentral:rRNA from 1 species